rnacentral:rRNA from 1 species
GUAACAAGGUUUCCGUAGGUGAACCUGCGGAAGGAUCAUUAUUGAAAUAAACCUGAUGAGUUGUUGCUGGUUCUCUUCUCCAGGGAAUAUUGUGCACACUUGUCAUCUUUAUAUCACCACCUGUGCACUUUUUUUGUAGGCGAGGAUUAACUUCCAAGUCUAUGUUUCUUCAUAUACCCUAAUGUAUGUUAUAGAAUGUAAAUGUAAUGGGCCUUUGUUGCCUAUAAAACUUUAUACAACUUUCAGCAACGGAUCUCUUGGCUCUCGCAUCGAUGAAGAACGCAGCGAAAUGCGAUAAGUAAUGUGAAUUGCAGAAUUCAGUGAAUCAUCGAAUCUUUGAACGCACCUUGCGCUCCUUGGUAUUCCGAGGAGCAUGCCUGUUUGAGUGUCAUUAAUAUAUCAACCUCACUUGUUGAGUGCUUGGAUGUGGGGGUUUUGCUGGACUCUUUUGAGGUCAGCUCCCUUGAAAUGCAUUAGCAGAACAAAUCCGUUCAUUUUGGUGUGAUAAACUAUCUACGCUAAUUGACCAAGUUCAGCUUUCUAACAGUCUUUUAUUUGACAAUUUUUUUUAUUAUUAAUGUGACCUCAAAUCAGGUAGGACUACCCGCUUGAACUUAA